rnacentral:rRNA from 1 species
CCUACGGGAGGCUGCAGUAGGGAAUAUUGCUCAAUGGGGGAAACCCUGAAGCAGCAACGCCGCGUGGAGGAUGAAGGUUUUCGGAUUGUAAACUCCUUUUGUUAGAGAAGAUAAUGACGGUAUCUAACGAAUAAGCACCGGCUAACUCCGUGCCAGCAGCCGCGGUAAUACGGAGGGUGCAAGCGUUACUCGGAAUCACUGGGCGUAAAGAGCGCGUAGGCGGGAUAGCAAGUCAGAUGUGAAAUCCUAUGGCUUAACCAUAGAACUGCAUUUGAAACUGUUAUUCUAGAGUAUGGGAGAGGUAGGUGGAAUUCUUGGUGUAGCGGUGAAAUGCGUAGAGAUCAAGAGGAAUACUGAUUGCGAAGGCGACCUGCUAGAACAUAACUGACGCUGAUGCGCGAAAGCGUGGGGAGCAAACAGGAUUAGAUACCCCUGUAGUC